rnacentral:rRNA from 1 species
AACGAACGCUGGUGGCGUGUUUUAUACAUGCAAGUCGAGCGAGGACGGUAGCAAUACCGAGCCGAGCGGCGAACGGGUGAGUAACGCGUAAGCAAUCUGCCCCACAAUCGGGAACAACCGUGCCAACGCGCGGCUAAUGCCGGAUAUUGUAGUCUACUGCAUAGUAGGCCAACGAAAGAUUUAUUGUUGUGGGAUGAGCUUGCGUCCGAUUAGCUAGUUGGCGGGGUAAUAGCCCACCAAGGCGACGAUCGGUAGCCGGCCUGAGAGGGUGAUCGGCCACAUUGGGACUGAGAUACGGCCCAGACUCCUACGGGAGGCAGCAGUAGGGAAUAUUGCGCAAUGGGGGGAACCCUGACGCAGCAACGCCACGUGUGGGAAGAAGCAUUUCGGUGUGUAAACCACUGUCGGAAAGGAAUAACGGAAGACUUCGGUCUUUAUGAAUGUACUUUUAGAGGAAGCACCGGCAAACUUCGUGCCAGCAGCCGCGGUAAACGUAGCGUG